CAUUCACGGAGAGUUUGAUCCUGGCUCAGGACGAACGCUGGCGGCGUGCUUAACACAUGCAAGUCGAACGAUGAAGCCCUUCGGGGUGGAUUAGUGGCGAACGGGUGAGUAACACGUGGGCAAUCUGCCCUGCACUCUGGGACAAGCCCUGGAAACGGGGUCUAAUACCGGAUAUGACACACGACCGCAUGGUCUGUGUGUGGAAAGCUCCGGCGGUGCAGGAUGAGCCCGCGGCCUAUCAGCUUGUUGGUGGGGUAAUGGCCUACCAAGGCGACGACGGGUAGCCGGCCUGAGAGGGCGACCGGCCACACUGGGACUGAGACACGGCCCAGACUCCUACGGGAGGCAGCAGUGGGGAAUAUUGCACAAUGGGCGCAAGCCUGAUGCAGCGACGCCGCGUGAGGGAUGACGGCCUUCGGGUUGUAAACCUCUUUCAGCAGGGAAGAAGCGCAAGUGACGGUACCUGCAGAAGAAGCGCCGGCUAACUACGUGCCAGCAGCCGCGGUAAUACGUAGGGCGCAAGCGUUGUCCGGAAUUAUUGGGCGUAAAGAGCUCGUAGGCGGCUUGUCGCGUCGGAUGUGAAAGCCCGGGGCUUAACCCCGGGUCUGCAUUCGAUACGGGCAGGCUAGAGUUCGGUAGGGGAGAUCGGAAUUCCUGGUGUAGCGGUGAAAUGCGCAGAUAUCAGGAGGAACACCGGUGGCGAAGGCGGAUCUCUGGGCCGAUACUGACGCUGAGGAGCGAAAGCGUGGGGAGCGAACAGGAUUAGAU
rnacentral:rRNA from 1 species